UAAAUAUUAUUUAUUUUGAAUUUUAGUAAUUUUAUUAUUUUAGACAUUUUUUUACUGUUACAUGUUUUACUGUAAGUGUGAGUAUGAUAUAAAUUAGCUGUGCUUUUAUAAUUUUAUUUAUUUUAGUAUUUAUGAUACCUAAAAAAAAAAUUAUUUAUUUGUCAUAGUUAAAAACCAAUAUGGAUGCAGCAAAAAAAAACAGAGCAAAACAUUCUACCAAAUACUUGAAUCUAACUGAUUUUGAACGUCUUGAAAGUCAUAUUGAAUCUGAAGGCGAUUUGUUGAUAAAAAAAUUAUCUUCAAAACAAACUGAUAAACAUUUAACUCUAGAAAAGCACUUAAGUCAAGAGCGUAAUUUUAUAACCAGCCAUGAGUACAUUUCCAUUACUGAAAUUACCAAAGGAGAAAUUACACUGCCAGAUUUUUGUACAAAAGUCAAUGAAGCAUCUUCCAAUCAAUUAAAUUAUAAUUCUGACCAAAAACCUUCUUUAAAAGUUUCAGAUUGUUUGAGUCGUCAUGAACGGGAAUUAGCAUUAUGUGUCAAACCUAAUAGUACUGAAACUAAACUUUUAGCAUUUGCAUUAUCAUGUGAAGCAAAUGAAACUCUUAAACAAAAUGUACAUCAUAUUGAUCAUCCAAUCAAUCAUCUUGUUCAAAUACACGAUGAACAAUUUUCUCAUCUCAAAGCUUCGCCACUUAAAACUUCAAAAAUGAUUAGACGGAAACGAAGACAAUUACUUCAAUCUUAUAUAAAACCAAUUGAGAUAUCUGAAAAGCCAAUAAAAAAUUAUACUAGGCCUAAAUCUCUUUGGGAUUUAAAAGAAGAUUGUACAGCAAACUCUGGUUUAAAAUUAUAUACAUGCGAAGCAUCUAAGCGUACCGAGCAGUGCAUUGGUGUAAUAGAAAUGAUAAAUGAAAAAAAUAAAAUGAAUGAUUUAUCAAGCUCUAUUAAUGGUCAGCGUUUUGUUGCUAGUGGUACCCCAGUUCCAAUAAAUGAUUAUACUAAAAUGAAUGAAGAUCAAUUGAAAACUUUACCUCAUUUUAAAAAUUAUCAAAAAGGAAUCCCAUCAAAAGUAUUGUAUGUGAAAAAUAUUGCCAAAAGUGUUUGUGAAAAACAUUUGAUAUCUGUAUUUGGUAAAUACAAAGCAUUGCAAAAUUCUGACAUAGUUUAUAGAUAUAUGAAAAAGGGAAAAAUGAAGGGACAAGCUUUUAUUGAAUUUGAAAAAAUUGAAGUGGCAGAAAAAGCAUUAGAAGAAAAUCUUGGCCUUAUACUUGAAGAGAAGCCAUUAAUUAUUCAAUUUGGGAAUAAAUGAUUAUUGUUGAUAAUUUAAGUUUGAUUAAAGUAUAUUUACAUUUGCAAGUUCUAGUUCAUUUGAAAACAUACACUACUACUGAUUUGUCGAGCUCGGAACAAGUAGUAUUUGUGUUAAGGUAUGUCUAUAUGGGAAAAAUCAAAGAAAGAUUAAUUGCUUUGGAAACUGACGAUGAUAGUUCAGGUAAAGGGAUUUUUGAUGUGUUUCAAAAAAUAAUGCAACAGUAUAACAUUAAUUGGAAAGAAUAUUUAUAUGCACAAUCGUAUGAUGGUGGUUAGACUUGAACAAGUUUAUGUCUCGUCGACCAUAUUAGAAGCAAAAACAUUUCUUUGUUGAUUUCUAAUUUUUUUGUAAUUCAUCCUUAAAUAAUAAUGUUUUGUGUUUUGAGAAUUAUUUUCACAAAUUUCUAGUACCCAAAGUGCUA